GUGUAGUUAGAAGGCACACGCAAAAAGAAGACGGACCUUUUGUCUCGCCAAGCUAUCGGUCAGCAUCCGGGUGACUCGCUUUACACGGUUUGUUUGGGUUUUUCCGAUGCGGAGCGAUGAGCCGCGUGCCGAAGGACGACGGAAGAGGCGAGCAGAGCGCCGGGUGAAGGCGGGCCGGCGUCUGAUGUCGGAGGAUCGGCACAACUGUCGGCGGUUCUGACUGGCUUAUGCUUUUUCAGUUUAUGCUUUUCUAGAUGCAAAUCGAUGUAUGAAGCGGGAUAUCCGCACCGGAGCGGACUUUGGCAAGAUUUACAGAGGGCGGGCAGGGCUCGGCACAGAGGACCGAAGAAUCUGACUCUGAGCGGCCGAGGGGCCGUGCUCCUUUGCAGAGGGGCGAAGCUGCACAGCCACAAGCGGUUCGAGAAAAGGCGAGAGACUCGUUAAGCGGUCUGCUCCGGCUCAAAUUUCCGAGGAGCUCACGGUAACUCGGCCGAGCGUUUGUCUUUGGUUUUGCCGGUGCCGCGAAGGCUUUCCUCAAACGGCUGAGGAUUUGAGGCGAGUCGGCGGAGGAGAGAGGAGCGGCAGGGUGGGAACCGCAGAGCGGGUUAUCGCUUCCGAUUACGACGGGCGCUUUAUCUCUCCGGUUUUCUGGCUUCCACGGGAGAUGCUGGCCGCAACAACUGAUUUUUUGGGAGCGGCGUGGCACUUGCGGGGAGGGUGUCGUCGCGGUAGAGGUCGGCGCCGGCCGGCGUGUCGGUGACUGGCGGCGCUCUGUGUUGCGGGUGAUGAAGAGGAAUCCGGUGAAUGCGGGAGCAUCCCGGUUAGACGAUGUGCUCCUGAUGAGGAUGGAUUCUGGAUCCCGUCCUCUGAAAGGUCUCUAUGUUCUGGCCCACGGCCUCUGCACUCGUCACGCACCUCGGUAGGCGUCUGUAGGGUCUCUAAUGCCUUGUCGGUUUCGCAUAGGGCCUGUC